GUAAUAGUAUGGCCUUUAUUCUCAGCGGGGUGUCCCAGGGUCAGGCCACAGCCUCUGACCUCCUAACCUGAUUCAGAUCUCCUUGAGAAGGCAUGAAGCAAGGGGAAACAAGACUCAGAGAACCAUCCUUCUGUACCCCUCAUUGAUAAGGAGCUGAGCACACAGGCGACCAAGCAAGGCCAGGCUGAUGAAAAGACAGCCAAGUUCGAGAGCAUUCUGUCCCGCUCACGUGCCCUCACGUGACUCACAUGACGGAGUUCCUGCCAUCUUUUCUCCCUUGAUCUCUCACUGAACCUGGAGCUCACUGAUGCCACAAGACGACUUCUAGCAAGUUCCAGGAAUGAAUCUGUCUCCGUUCUGCCCUGGCGAUGAGAUUGCAGAAGUGUGCUGCUAUACUUGGUUCUUACUGAGUGCGGGGAUCUGACCUCAGAUGCCCAGAAGACUAAGUUCUGCAGCUGGUGUAAAGAGAAGAUUCUGACUAAAGCGGCCUAAGAAACAGGUGACCAGCACGUGGAUGGUUCCUCUUCAGACCUCGCAGCAGUUUCUGCCCCACAAACAAGAAACAAGGCAAAGAUAGUUACACAUACCUGGCCUAUGUCAAGGGCUGGGUUUAUGCUGUGGCCAACAUCCAUCACGAUGUCUGUUCUGAUAUUCUAGUAAAAAAAAAAUCCAUCUUAAUGCAGAUAACUCACAGAGAAGCUGAGAAAUAUAUCUUGCCCAGGUUUGGGAUAAAGUC